rnacentral:rRNA from 1 species
ACUAAGCGUACACGGUGGAUGCCCUGGCAGUCAGAGGCGAUGAAGGACGUGCUAAUCUGCGAUAAGCGUCGGUAAGGUGAUAUGAACCGUUAUAACCGGCGAUUUCCGAAUGGGGAAACCCAGUGUGAUUCGUCACACUAUCAUUAACUGAAUCCAUAGGUUAAUGAGGCGAACCGGGGGAACUGAAACAUCUAAGUACCCGAGGAAAAGAAAUCAACCGAGAUUCCCCCAGUAGCGGCGAGCGAACGGGGAGCAGCCCAGAGCCUGAAUCAGUGUGUGUGUUAGUGGAAGCGUCUGGAAAGGCGUGCGAUACAGGGUGACAGCCCCGUACACAAAAAUGCACAUAUUGUGAGCUCGAUGAGUAGGGCGGGACACGUGGUAUCCUGUCUGAAUAUGGGGGGACCAUCCUCCAAGGCUAAAUACUCCUGACUGACCGAUAGUGAACCAGUACCGUGAGGGAAAGGCGAAAAGAACCCCGGCGAGGGGAGUGAAAAAGAACCUGAAACCGUGUACGUACAAGCAGUGGGAGCACGCUUAGGCGUGUGACUGCGUACCUUUUGUAUAAUGGGUCAGCGACUUAUAUUCUGUAGCAAGGUUAACCGAAUAGGGGAGCCGAAGGGAAACCGAGUCUUAACUGGGCGUUAAGUUGCAGGGUAUAGACCCGAAACCCGGUGAUCUAGCCAUGGGCAGGUUGAAGGUUGGGUAACACUAACUGGAGGACCGAACCGACUAAUGUUGAAAAAUUAGCGGAUGACUUGUGGCUGGGGGUGAAAGGCCAAUCAAACCGGGAGAUAGCUGGUUCUCCCCGAAAGCUAUUUAGGUAGCGCCUCGUGAAUUCAUCUCCGGGGUAGAGCACUGUUUCGGCAAGGGGUCAUCCCGACUUACCAACCCGAUGCAAACUGCGAAUACCGGAGAAUGUUAUCACGGGAGACACACGGCGGGUGCUAACGUCCGUCGUGAAGAGGGAAACAACCCAGACCGCCAGCUAAGGUCCCAAAGUCAUGGUUAAGUGGGAAACGAUGUGGGAAGGCCCAGACAGCCAGGAUGUUGGCUUAGAAGCAGCCAUCAUUUAAAGAAAGCGUAAUAGCUCACUGGUCGAGUCGGCCUGCGCGGAAGAUGUAACGGGGCUAAACCAUGCACCGAAGCUGCGGCAGCGACACUAUGUGUUGUUGGGUAGGGGAGCGUUCUGUAAGCCUGUGAAGGUGUACUGUGAGGUAUGCUGGAGGUAUCAGAAGUGCGAAUGCUGACAUAAGUAACGAUAAAGCGGGUGAAAAGCCCGCUCGCCGGAAGACCAAGGGUUCCUGUCCAACGUUAAUCGGGGCAGGGUGAGUCGACUCCUAAGGCGAGGCCGAAAGGCGUAGUCGAUGGGAAACAGGUUAAUAUUCCUGUACUUGGUGUUACUGCGAAGGGGGGACGGAGAAGGCUAUGUUGGCCGGGCGACGGUUGUCCCGGUUUAAGCGUGUAGGCUGGUUUUCCAGGCAAAUCCGGAAAACUAAGGCUGAGGCGUGAUGACGAGGCACUACGGUGCUGAAGCAACAAAUGCCCUGCUUCCAGGAAAAGCCUCUAAGCAUCAGGUAACAUCAAAUCGUACCCCAAACCGACACAGGUGGUCAGGUAGAGAAUACCAAGGCGCUUGAGAGAACUCGGGUGAAGGAACUAGGCAAAAUGGUGCCGUAACUUCGGGAGAAGGCACGCUGAUAUGUAGGUGAAGUCCCUCGCGGAUGGAGCUGAAAUCAGUCGAAGAUACCAGCUGGCUGCAACUGUUUAUUAAAAACACAGCACUGUGCAAACACGAAAGUGGACGUAUACGGUGUGACGCCUGCCCGGUGCCGGAAGGUUAAUUGAUGGGGUCAGCGCAAGCGAAGCUCUUGAUCGAAGCCCCGGUAAACGGCGGCCGUAACUAUAACGGUCCUAAGGUAGCGAAAUUCCUUGUCGGGUAAGUUCCGACCUGCACGAAUGGCGUAAUGAUGGCCAGGCUGUCUCCACCCGAGACUCAGUGAAAUUGAACUCGCUGUGAAGAUGCAGUGUACCCGCGGCAAGACGGAAAGACCCCGUGAACCUUUACUAUAGCUUGACACUGAACAUUGAGCCUUGAUGUGUAGGAUAGGUGGGAGGCUUUGAAGUGUGGACGCCAGUCUGCAUGGAGCCGACCUUGAAAUACCACCCUUUAAUGUUUGAUGUUCUAACGUUGACCCGUAAUCCGGGUUGCGGACAGUGUCUGGUGGGUAGUUUGACUGGGGCGGUCUCCUCCUAAAGAGUAACGGAGGAGCACGAAGGUUGGCUAAUCCUGGUCGGACAUCAGGAGGUUAGUGCAAUGGCAUAAGCCAGCUUGACUGCGAGCGUGACGGCGCGAGCAGGUGCGAAAGCAGGUCAUAGUGAUCCGGUGGUUCUGAAUGGAAGGGCCAUCGCUCAACGGAUAAAAGGUACUCCGGGGAUAACAGGCUGAUACCGCCCAAGAGUUCAUAUCGACGGCGGUGUUUGGCACCUCGAUGUCGGCUCAUCACAUCCUGGGGCUGAAGUAGGUCCCAAGGGUAUGGCUGUUCGCCAUUUAAAGUGGUACGCGAGCUGGGUUUAGAACGUCGUGAGACAGUUCGGUCCCUAUCUGCCGUGGGCGCUGGAGAACUGAGGGGGGCUGCUCCUAGUACGAGAGGACCGGAGUGGACGCAUCACUGGUGUUCGGGUUGUCAUGCCAAUGGCACUGCCCGGUAGCUAAAUGCGGAAGAGAUAAGUGCUGAAAGCAUCUAAGCACGAAACUUGCCCCGAGAUGAGUUCUCCCUGACUCCUUGAGAGUCCUGAAGGAACGUUGAAGACGACGACGUUGAUAGGCCGGGUGUGUAAGCGCAGCGAUGCGUUGAGCUAACCGGUACUAAUGAACCGUGAGGCUUAACC